UGGCCCCGGCCUAACACAUGCAAGUCGAGCGGCAGCGGGAAAGUAGCUUGCUACUUUUGCCGGCGAGCGGCGGACGGGUGAGUAAUGCCUGGGAAAUUGCCCAGUCGAGGGGGAUAACAGUUGGAAACGACUGCUAAUACCGCAUACGCCCUACGGGGGAAAGCAGGGGACCUUCGGGCCUUGCGCGAUUGGAUAUGCCCAGGUGGGAUUAGCUAGUUGGUGAGGUAAUGGCUCACCAAGGCGACGAUCCCUAGCUGGUCUGAGAGGAUGAUCAGCCACACUGGAACUGAGACACGGUCCAGACUCCUACGGGAGGCAGCAGUGGGGAAUAUUGCACAAUGGGGGAAACCCUGAUGCAGCCAUGCCGCGUGUGUGAAGAAGGCCUUCGGGUUGUAAAGCACUUUCAGCGAGGAGGAAAGGUUGAUGCCUAAUACGUAUCAACUGUGACGUUACUCGCAGAAGAAGCACCGGCUAACUCCGUGCCAGCAGCCGGGGUAAUACCGGAGGGUGCAAGCGUUAAUCGAAUUACUGGGCGUAAAGCCCACGCAGGCGGUUGGAUA
rnacentral:rRNA from 1 species